UAACGACUCUCGGCAACGGAUAUCUCGGCUCUCGCAUCGAUGAAGAACGUAGCGAAAUGCGAUACUUGGUGUGAAUUGCAGAAUCCCGCGAAUCAUCGAGUCUUUGAACGCAAGUUGCGCCCGAAGCCAUUUGGUCGAGGGCACGUCUGCCUGGGUGUCACGC
rnacentral:rRNA from 1 species